rnacentral:rRNA from 1 species
UACGGAGGGGGCAAGCGUUAUUCGGAUUCACUGGGCUUAAAGGGUGCGUAGGUGGGCAGGUAAGUCAGUGGUGAAAUCUUUGGGCUUAACCCGAAAACUGCCAUUGAUACUAUUUGUCUUGAAUAUUGUGGAGGUCAGCGGAAUAUGUCAUGUAGCGGUGAAAUGCUUAGAUAUGACAUAGAACACCAAUUGCGAAGGCAGCUGGCUGCACAUAUAUUGACACUGAUGCACGAAAGCGUGGGGAUCAAACAGG